rnacentral:snRNA from 1 species
GGGCUUCCUUCAACAGUACAUUUACUACAAUUGAAAAGUUACGGUGAAGAUUAGCAUGGUGCCUGCACUAGCAGACAAGCAAAUUGGUGAAUCAUAUUCUU